rnacentral:rRNA from 1 species
UACGAAGGGGGCUAGCGUUGCUCGGAAUCACUGGGCGUAAAGGGCGCGUAGGCGGGUCUUUAAGUCAGGGGUGAAAUCCUGGAGCUCAACUCCAGAACUGCCUUUGAUACUGGGGAUCUUGAGUACGGGAGAGGUGAGUGGAACUGCGAGUGUAGAGGUGAAAUUCGUAGAUAUUCGCAAGAACACCAGUGGCGAAGGCGGCUCACUGGCCCGUAACUGACGCUGAGGCGCGAAAGCGUGGGGAGCAAACAGG